AUGAGCUUUCUCGCCGGGCGCCUCGCCGCCCAGGAGGGCGCCUACUUCCUGCAGGAGUCCAAGCUCGCCGCCGGGCGCCUCGCGGCGAAGCUCCCCGCGUCCGCGCGUGGGCCCAGGCCGGCGUCCCCGCCUCCGUCGCCCGACGUGCUCCCGGAGAUCCUCCGCCACUCCGUGCCCAUCAGGCCGACGCCGCCUCCUGCCGACCCCACCCUCUACGGCUCCACCCGCUGGGCCCUCCCACAGGGCGGCGCCGAGGCCGCUGGGGUGUCCCCCGACGUGCUCAACCCGCUUCGCUCGUACGUCGCCCUGCCGCAGGCCACCUUCGGCCCCAAAAGAUGGGAACUUCCAACUGAGCAGCCUUACUACUCAGCGGCAACUGCCAAUGAGCGGCGGCGUGAUAUGCACCCUCCUCCCAUGGAUCCUGAGAAGUUGAAGGCUGUAAUUGCUGGAUACUCACAGGUUGGAAAGGCAUUUCUUGCUGGCACUAUAUUGGUGUUUGGAGGAGCAACAGCUGUGUUGUUGUAUACGGCGAAUAAACUACAGUUGCAUUCAGUAGACGACGUCAGAGCUAAAGGAAAAGACGCAGUGCAACCACAUGCCGAUAUGAUCAAAGAACAGAUAGCUCCACUAAGGAAAUGGGCUGAAGGCACAUCCCGAAAAUGGCAUUACGAAGGCGACAGAGAGUCCGGGGAGAAGUCUGUCCUUGUUAGAGAGCUUUCAAGGGCACUUGGUUCUAAGACGCGUCCUCCGAAUUGA
rnacentral:rRNA from 1 species